rnacentral:tRNA from 1 species
CGUUGAUCUAGGAGGCUUUAGCUUAAUUAAAGUGUCUGAGUUGCAUUUAGGUGAUGUGUAUUAGAAUUACACAGGUCUU